AGUGAUACUAGCUCAGUUGGUAGAGCAUGAGACUGUUAAUCUCAGGGUUGUGGGUUUGAUUCCUGCAUUGCGG
rnacentral:tRNA from 1 species